rnacentral:rRNA from 1 species
AACGAACGCUGGCGGCGUGCUUAAUACAUGCAAGUCGAACGUGAAGUCUUCAGCAAUGGAGAUGGAAAGUGGCGAACGGGUGAGUAACACGUAAGUAAUCUGCCUCUAAGACUGGGAUAACCUUGCCAACGCGGGGCUAAUACCGGAUGUGGUCCCGAUAAUGCAUAUUGUCGGGAUUAAAGGAGCGAUCCGCUUAGAGAUGAGCUUGCGGCCCAUUAGCUAGUUGGUGCGGGUAAUGGCCCACCAAGGCUGCGAUGGGUAGCCGGCCUGAGAGGGUGAUCGGCCACAUUGGGACUGAGGUACGGCCCAGACUCCUACGGGAGGCAGCAGUAGGGAAUUUUGCGCAAUGGGCGAAAGCCUGACGCAGCAACGCCGCGUGAGGGAUGACGGCCUCGGUUGUAACGUACUCGUUGUAGUGGGAAAAGGGUAAGGACGAAUAACUUUGUAUGGUACCGAUUCGUAGUAAGACGACCGGCGUAACCUAACGUUGCCACGCAGCCGCGGUAACGAA